GCAACCUACCUCAUACAGGGGGAUAGCCCGGAAAAAUCUGGAUUAAUACCCCAUGGUACUGUGAAGAGGCAUUUCUUUACAGUUAAAGAUUCAUCGGUAUGAGAUGGGCAUGCGUCUGAUUAGCUAGUUGGCGGUGUAACGGACCACCAAGGCGACGAUCAGUAGGGGUUCUGAGAGGAAGGUCCCCCACACUGGCACUGAGAUACGGGCCAGACUCCUACGGGAGGCAGCAGUAGGGAAUAUUGGGCAAUGGACGAGAGUCUGACCCAGCCAUGCCGCGUGCAGGAAGACGGCGUUCUGCGUUGUAAACUGCUUUUAUCUGGGAAGAAAAGGCCCAUGCGUGGGACAUUGCCGGUUUUUUUUUUAAUAAGCACCGGCUAACUCCGUGCCAGCAGCCGUUUGUAAUACGGAGGGUGCAAGCGUUGUCCGGAUUUAUUGGGUUUAAAGGGUGCGUAGGCGGCUAUUUAAGUCAGCGGUGAAAGACAUCGGCUCAACCGAUGCAGUGCCAUUGAUACUGGAUAGCUUGAGUGUUGGA
rnacentral:rRNA from 1 species